rnacentral:rRNA from 1 species
UACGUAGGGGGCAAGCGUUGUUCGGAAUUACUGGGCGUAAAGGGCGCGCAGGCGGCCGAUCAAGUCGGAUGUGAAAGCCCCGGGCUCAACCUGGGAAUAGCAUUUGGGACUGAUUGGCUAGAGUUCGGGAGAGGAGAGUGGAAUUCCCAGUGUAGAGGUGAAAUUCGUAGAUAUUGGGAAGAACACCGGUGGCGAAGGCGGCGCUCUGGACCGUAACUGACGCUGAGGCGCGAAAGCGUGGGGAGCAAACAGG